rnacentral:rRNA from 1 species
GUACACGCUGUGACUAGCAUAUCAAUAAGCGGAGGAAAAGAAACUAACAAGGAUUCCCCUAGUAACGGCGAGUGAAGCGGGAAGAGCUCAAAUUUGAAAUCUUAAAGGGUUUCCCUUUACGAAUUGUAGUUUAAAGAAGUGUUUUCUGUUGAGGUUUUGGUAAAAGUUCUUUGGAAUAGGACAUCAUAGAGGGUGAGAAUCCCGUAUUUGACCUUUACUUUCAACUUUGUGAUACACUCUCAAAGAGUCGGAUUGUUUGGGAAUGCAGUCCAAAAUGGGUGGUAAAUUUCAUCUAAAGCUAAAUAUUGGCGAGAGACCGAUAGCGAACAAGUACCGUGAGGGAAAGAUGAAAAGAACUUUGAAAAGAGAGUUAAACAGUACGUGAAAUUGUCAAAAGGGAAGCGUUUGACACCAGUGUUGUUUUUCUGAAAAUCAAUUAAAGAACUGUUUAUGCUAAGUUGUUUAGACUUUAUCAGCUAACUGUUUAGUUUUGAGCUUUUCUUUAAUGCACUUUUCAGUUAACAAGUCAACAUCAAUUUCUUUUGCUGUAAAAAAGCUUGAGGAAGGUGGCUUGAGAUUCGUCUUAAGUGUUUAUAGCCUCUUGCCUAUGCAGUCGGAGAGAUUGAGGUCUGCAGCGUAGAUCCUUCGGGGCUAAAUGCAUUUGUGCUAAGUUAUAGCAUUUUAUAGACAACUUGUUGACUAUGAUUUGUCUUGUAGCUUACUCGCUUAUGUUAUUUUACCUACGCUUAGGAUGUUGACAGCAGUAUAGACUGU